rnacentral:rRNA from 1 species
GGCAGCGAAGUGGGUGAUGUCAAGCUUCCAAGAAAAGCCCUAUACCCGUUAAGGCAUGGCGGCCUGUACCCGAAACCGACACAGGUGGGUAGGUAGAGUAUACUAAGGGGCGCGAGAUAACUCUCUCUAAGGAACUCGGCAAAAUGACUCCGUAACUUCGGGAGAAGGAGUGCCUUAUUUAUAAGGUUGCAAUAACAAGAUCCAAGCAACUGUUUAUCAAAAACACAGGUCUCCGCUAAGUCGUAAGACGAUGUAUGGGGGCUGACGCCUGCCCAGUGCCAGAAGGUUAAAGAAGUUGGUUAGUGUAUGCGAAGCUGAUGACUGAAGCCCUGGUGAACGGCGGCCGUAACGAUAACGGUCCUAAGGUAGCGAAAUUCCUUGUCGGGUAAGUUCCGACCCGCACGAAAGGCGUAAUGAUUUGGAUACUGUCUCGGAGAGAGGCUCGGUGAAAUAGACUUGUCUGUGAAGAUGCGGACUACCUGCACCAGGACAGAAAGACCCUAUGAAGCUUUACUGUAACUUGAAAUUGGAAUUGGACUUUGCUUGCGCAGUAUAGGUGGGAAGCGUUGAAGAUAUUCUUGCGGGAGUAUUGGAGCUAUCAGUGAGAUACCACUCUUGUAAUGUUAGAUUUCUAACUUUGAACCAUAAUCUGGUCAAAGAACAGUUUCAGGUGGGCAGUUUGACUGGGGCGGUCGCCUCCCAAAUGGUAACGGAGGCGUACAAAGGUUUCCUCUGAACGGAUAGAAAUCGUAUCUAGAGUGUAAAGGCAUAAGGAAGCUUGACUGUGAGACCUACAAGUCGAGCAGGGACGAAAGUCGGUCUUAGUGAUCUGACGGUACUGAGUGGAAAGGCCGUCACUCAACGGAUAAAAGUUACUCUAGGGAUAACAGGCUGAUCUCCCCCAAGAGUUCACAUCGACGGGGAGGUUUGGCACCUCGAUGUCGGCUCAUCGCAUCCUGGGGCGGUAGUACGUCCCAAGGGUUGGGCUGUUCGCCCAUGAAAGCGGUACGCGAGCUGGGUUCAGAACGUCGUGAGACAGUUCGGUCCAUAUCCGGUGUAGGCGUUAGAAUAUUGAGAGGAGCCUUCUUUAGUACGAGAGGACCGAGAAGGACACACCGCUGGUGUACCAGUUAUCGUGCCAACGGUAAACGCUGGGUAGCUAUGUGUGGAGUGGAUAACCGCUGAAAGCAUCUAAGUGGGAAGCCCACCUCAAGAUGAGUAUUCUC